AUUGAACGCUGGCGGCAGGCCUAACACAUGCAAGUCGAGCGGCAGCGGGAAAGUAGCUUGCUACUUUUGCCGGCGAGCGGCGGACGGGUGAGCAAUGCCUGGGAAAUUGCCCAGUCGAGGGGGAUAACAGUUGGAAACGACUGCUAAUACCGCAUACGCCCUACGGGGGAAAGCAGGGGACCUUCGGGCCUUGCGCGAUUGGAUAUGCCCAGGUGGGAUUAGCUAGUUGGUGAGGUAAUGGCUCACCAAGGCGACGAUCCCUAGCUGGUCUGAGAGGAUGAUCAGCCACAAUGGAACUGAGACACGGUCCAGACUCCUACGGGAGGCAGCAGUGGGGAAUAUUGCACAAUGGGGGAAACCCUGAUGCAGCCAUGCCGCGUGUGUGAAGAAGGCCUUCGGGUUGUAAAGCACUUUCAGCGAGGAGGAAAGGUUGAUGCCUAAUACGUAUCAACUGUGACGUUACUCGCAGAAGAAGCACCGGCUAACUCCGUGCCAGCCGCCGCGGUAAUAC
rnacentral:rRNA from 1 species